rnacentral:rRNA from 1 species
AACGAACGCUGGCGGCGUGCUUAACACAUGCAAGUCGAACGCGAAAGGGACUUCGGUCCUGAGUAAAGUGGCGCACGGGUGAGUAACGCGUAGAUAACCUGUCUUCGAGUCUGGAAUAAUACACCGAAAGGGGUACUAAUACCGGAUAUUCUUGCAUUUCAUAAGGAGUGUAAGCAAAGGUGGCCUCUGCAUAUGCUACUGCUUGAUGAGGGGUCUGCGUACCAUUAGCUAGUAGGUGGGGUAAUGGCCCACCUAGGCUACGAUGGUUAGCGGGUCUGAGAGGAUGAUCCGCCACACUGGCACUGGAACACGGGCCAGACUCCUACGGGAGGCAGCAGUGAGGAAUAUUGCGCAAUGGGGGCAACCCUGACGCAGCGACGCCGCGUGAGUGAGGAAGGCCUUCGGGUCGUAAAGCUCUGUCAAAGGGAAAGAAAUGUAUAAUGGCUAAUACCUGUUAUAUUUGACGGUACCCUUAAAGGAAGCACCGGCUAACUCCGUG